CGUAAAGAGAGUGCAGGCGGUUUUCUAAGUCUGAUGUGAAGCCUUCGGCUUAACCGGAGAAGUGCAUCGGAAACUGGAUAACUUGAGUGCAGAAGAGGGUAGUGGAACUCCAUGUGUAGCGGUGGAAUGCGUAGAUAUAUGGAAGAACACCAGUGGCGAAGGCGGCUACCUGGUCUGCAACUGACGCUGAGACUCGAAAGCAUGGGUAGCGAACAGGAUUAGAUACCCUGGUAGUCCAUGCCGUAAACGAUGAGUGCUAGGUGUUGGAGGGUUUCCGCCCUUCAGUGCCGGAGCUAACGCAUUAAGCACUCCGCCUGGGGAGUACGACCGCAAGGUUGAAACUCAAAGGAAUUGACGGGGGCCCGCACAAGCGGUGGAGCAUGUGGUUUAAUUCGAAGCUACGCGAAGAACCUUACCAGGUCUUGACAUCUUGCGCCAACCCUAGAGAUAGGGCGUUUCCUUCGGGAACGCAAUGACAGGUGGUGCAUGGUCGUCGUCAGCUCGUGUCGUGAGAUGUUGGGUUAAGUCCCGCAACGAGCGCAACCCUUGUUACUAGUUGCCAGCAUUAAGUUGGGCACUCUAGUGAGACUGCCGGUGACAAACCGGAGGAAGGUGGGGACGACGUCAGAUCAUCAUGCCCCUUAUGACCUGGGCUACACACGUGCUACAAUGGACGGUACAACGAGUCGCGAACUCGCGAGGGCAAGCAAAUCUCUUAAAACCGUUCUCAGUUCGGACUGCAGGCUGCAACUCGCCUGCACGAAGUCGGAAUCGCUAGUAAUCGCGGAUCAGCAUGCCGCGGUGA
rnacentral:rRNA from 1 species